rnacentral:rRNA from 1 species
UACGUAGGGGGCGAGCGUUGUCCGGAGUACUGGGCGUAAAGCGCACGGCAGGCGGUCUGCUAAGUUUGGAGUGACAGCUUGGUGGCUUAACUGCCAAAGUGCUUCGAAAACUGACAGACUUGAGGGCCUCGAGAGGGACACGGAAUCCGGGUGGAGUGGUGAAAUGCGUAGAGAUCCGGAGGAACACCAAGGCGGAAAGGCAGUGUCCUGGGGAGUACCUGGACGCUCGAGGUGACGAAAGCCA